AGAAAAAACACUGGCAGAAUACUCGAUUAAAUAAUAUACAUUAAAAUUAUUUAUUUAUAUAAAUAAUUUAUAAAAGAGUAUUAUACAGCAUUCAAGGGAGUAUUGCUUUAGAAUGACAUCAUCGUGCCUUCUGCUAUAGCAGCAGAACAACUUUACAAACUAUAACAAAUCUCUCUUGUCUGUUAGUUUGUGUUUACUGUUGCUAUGGUGAUUCAGUGUUUGCAAGGGAGUGAGAGAAGAUUGAGAGAAAAAGCGUCAUUUGUAUAUGAGAGUGAAAUCUGCACACGAGUGCCACCUGGAGUUUUCCUGGGUUUUCGCUUUGAUUUUGAGUGAUUUCCUUGGCUGGGUUUUUUGUGUGUGUCGAAGCAUCUGUGAUGAGUCCCUAAUUCACGUUGGACUCGAGGAGAAACUUACGGCGAGCCACCCACGGAACCAACUCUCCUGUUAGACUGUGUGUUUGUGCCACCGGACUGGUAGGAGAGUUCUUUUGAUUGUUUGGAGAAACGAGACUCGGACUCAUCGCGACCUUCCGCUUUUCCUUCUUACUUUUCCUAAAAUCCUCAACGGAAAACCUUUACUG